AAUACAACAGCAACAUAAAAGCGUAUAUCGUCAUUGACGCUUCUUAAGAGACUAUCGCAUUUGUGAUCUAGAAAAUGCAAUAUGCGUUCUGUGUUUUAGAUGUUAUGUAGAAUACACACCCGCACUUCAUUUCUUUUACGUUUCCAUGGUUUGGAAGUUAUAAACCACGGAAAGCAGCUUCAUUAAUAAUUGAUGCGCAAAGACGAAAUUACGAAAA
rnacentral:lncRNA from 13 species